rnacentral:rRNA from 1 species
GUCCGCGACGUGCUUCUCCAACCAUUGGUACGCGACGGUGGUUCGGUCCGGGAGGUGGCUCCUGCAAUCCUGGCGUCGCCGCAGCAGUGGUUCCAUUCCGGCGGCAUCAGGGGAGCACACAACGUCCACGAGCAGCAAGCAGAGCCGGCCAAUCGGCCAAUGAUGCAGCAGCGCUGGCCAUGAGGAGACGCCUGCCGUGGCGGACGCGGAGACAACAACCAUGGGCGUGGAAGACGGUUUUGGAUCCUGUGAGCCGCCGCCGCUGCCUCGUCGUCAAGCAACGUGGGCCUUCUGCUGCUCCAUGUCCAACAAGUCGCCCACGAGGCGUCAGUGUGGCAUUGCUAGAUCCAGCUUCCCCCUGCAAUCGUCUCUGCCGCCAGCACUUGCACGAAAUCGUGCUGGUUUAUGUAGUUCAAGAUCAAAGGCAAGAAUCAGCCAAAUAUGAUGAUGAGAACAAGGCUAAUGAUGGAGAACUUUCAUCUAUCGAAGCUGAGCAGUCUAUUGGGAUACUAAGUUUCAAUGCGCAUCCUAAGUUUCAGUUACCUGAAAUCAAGGCCAGUUUCAGUCGAUGCCGAAGUAAACUACCACAUGUAAGUUUAGGGACACACAUUAGUUUCCUGCUAGGGAUUUAAUGGUUGCCGAACUUUAUGCACAUAUGGCGUAGUAGAGAUGCAUGCUUCGUUAUCCUGCAGUUAUCUGAAUUUUUUCUGACCUGCACUCUUCUUGCCUUUAGUUCUGUUCUUAACAGAAUUAUUACUUACUGACAGACGAAUACUUGUUUUCCUUCAUCAUCUGCAUUUCAAAUGACUCAUUAUGCAUCAGGCUAGCUAGGCAAUAUGAAAUUUUACUUCUUGGCUAUAGUCACCGAGCACUGCAAUUUGAAAUUACAGCCACGAAUUUUGGAUUAGUCGAAAGGGCAUUCUUAAUCUGAUACAGUCAAACGAGCACUGCAAUUUUCAAAACAAGAAGCGGCUGCUACCAUAUUAUUUAUGUUUACAAUCAACAAACUACAUCCUGACAUUCCUUCUUAUUUUUGUUUGCAUUCAAACGUGAUGAACUUGAGAAAAUCCAUGCACUUCAAUUGGACAGGAGUUUUCUGCCACGUAAUCGAUGAUGCACUUCACAUGACAGAAUUGUUUGUUAAAGGAACUUUUUGGCAAGAAAUACACAACCGUGUCAUUCAGUGUUGGACCUAUGUUAUUGGCAAGAAAUACACUAAUGUGUAGCUCACUGCUGAGGUCAGCAAGAGGGGGUACAUGCACAUCUGACACCUUUUUCUCUUCCGGCGCCUUGCUAUUUGCAUUUCCCAUUCGUACCUAUCAUUUUUCAACAGCAUUAGUAUUGAUGUGGUAUGUAUACUGAACAAUUGGCUUGCCAUGUAUUUUUGGUGUUCCAACUUGGAACAUGGGGAAGAAAUGACUACAUUGUAUACAUCUGAUAAACAUUUAUUGUCUUGGGAUGUAUUUUUGGUGUUCGAACUGGGAACAUGGGGCACAUUUAUUCGUAUGGAUCCAUCUGGU